GAGUGGAGCAACUAUUAAUUAAUUGCCAAUUUUUUGAAUUAUAUUGGAAUUCUAAGAAUGAAUUUGUUUAUCUUUAUAGGAUAUCUAAAGUGUCCAGGUACUUAAAAUCACCAAUUGGACUGAACAGAUGUACCUCAGGAAUUAAAAAUUUUUCCAGAGGGAGUUGCCUAAUAGGGCACCCAUAAAGGAGGAAAAAUUCACAAAAUGCAUUCCUUGGAUACUGAUUAAAAUCUGUUCCAAAUCUAUGAAGGCUGAAGACAUACAUAGUGGUA
rnacentral:lncRNA from 1 species